rnacentral:rRNA from 1 species
CAGUCGCCACGGGAAUACGGAAGGUCCAGGCGUUAUGCGGAUUUAUUGGGUUUAAAGGGAGUGUAGGCGGUCCGUUAAGCGUGUUGUGAAAUUUAGGUGCUCAACAUCUAACUUGCAGCGCGAACUGGCGGACUUGAGUGCACGCAACGUAUGCGGAAUUCAUGGUGUAGCGGUGAAAUGCUUAGAUAUCAUGACGAACUCCGAUUGCGAAGGCAGCGUACGGGAGUGUUACUGACGCUUAAGCUCGAAGGUGCGGGUAUCGAACAGGAUUAGAUACCCGAGUAGUCCCUGUCUCUUAUAC